rnacentral:misc_RNA from 1 species
GAAAUGCGAUAAGUAGUACGAAUUGCAGAACCUCAUGAAUCAUCGAAUCUUUGAACGCACAUUGCGCCCUCCCGUACUCGGGGGGGCAUGCCUGUCCGAGCGUCAGGAGUCACCCCUCAGGCCCAGCCUGGUGUUGGGCGGGGCCGCCCCGGCGGCCCGCCCCAAAUCGAGCGGCCCCCGUCUCGGGCCCUCGGCGCAGUACCAUCUCGCCGCGGGGACCCCCCGACGGGGCGCCAGAACCCCCAACAGAAGCGUGACCUCGGAUCAGGUAGGGAUACCCGCUGAACUUAA